rnacentral:rRNA from 1 species
UUUCGGGGGGAGCGGCGGACGGGUUAGUAACGCGUGGGAACAUACCCUUUUCUACGGAAUAGCCUUUGGAAACGAAGAGUAAUACCGUAUACGCCCUUUUGGGGAAAGAUUUAUCGGUGAAGGAUUGGCCCGCGUUAGAUUAGAUAGUUGGUGGGGUAAUGGCCUACCAAGUCUACGAUCUAUAGCUGGUUUGAGAGGAUGAUCAGCAACACUGGGACUGAGACACGGCCCAGACUCCUACGGGAGGCAGCAGUGGGGAAUCUUAGACAAUGGGCGCAAGCCUGAUCUAGCGAUGCCGCGUGAGUGAAGAAGGCCUUAGGGUCGUAAAACUCUUUCGCCUGUGAUGAUAAUGACAGUAGCAGGUAAAGAAACCCCAGCUAACUCCGUGCCAGCAGCCGCGGUAAUACGGAGGGGGUUAGCGUUGUUCGGAAUUACUGGGCGUAAAGCGUACGUAGGCGGAUUAGUAAGUUAGGGGUGAAAUCCCGGGGCUCAACCCCGGAACUGCCUCUAAAACUGCUAGUCUUGAGGUCGAGAGAGGUGAGUGGAAUUCCGAGUGUAGAGGUGAAAUUCGUAGAUAUUCGGAGGAACAUCAGUGGCGAAGGCGGCUCACUGGCUCGAUACUGACGCUGAGGUACGAAAGUGUGGGGAGCAAACAGGAUUAGAUACCCUGGUAGUCCACACCGUAA